rnacentral:rRNA from 1 species
GGAAAGGCCCUUCGGGGUACUCGAGCGGCGAACGGGUGAGUAACACGUGAGCAACCUGCCCUAGGCUUUGGGAUAACCCUCGGAAACGGGGGCUAAUACCGAAUAUUACCUGGUCUCGCAUGAGGUUGGGUGGAAAGUUUUUCGGCCUAGGAUGGGCUCGCGGCCUAUCAGCUUGUUGGUGGGGUAAUGGCCUACCAAGGCGACGACGGGUAGCCGGCCUGAGAGGGCGACCGGCCACACUGGGACUGAGACACGGCCCAGACUCCUACGGGAGGCAGCAGUGGGGAAUAUUGCACAAUGGGCGGAAGCCUGAUGCAGCGACGCCGCGUGAGGGAUGACGGCCUUCGGGUUGUAAACCUCUUUCAGCAGGGACGAAGCGAGAGUGACGGUACCUGCAGAAGAAGCACCGGCCAACUACGUGCCAGCAGCCGCGGUAAGACGUAGGGUGCGAGCGUUGUCCGGAUUUAUUGGGCGUAAAGAGCUCGUAGGCGGCUUGUCGCGUCGACCGUGAAAACUUGG